rnacentral:rRNA from 1 species
UGCCAGACUCCUACGGGAGGCAGCAGUGGGGAAUAUUGCACAAUGGGGGGAACCCUGAUGCAGCGACGCCGCGUGAAGGAAGAAGUAUCUCGGUAUGUAAACUUCUAUCAGCAGGGAAGAAAGAGGACGGUACCUGACUAAGAAGCCCCGGCUAACUACGUGCCAGCAGCCGCGGUAAUACGUAGGGGGCGAGCGUUAUCCGGAUUUACUGGGUGUAAAGGGAGCGUAGACGGCCAUGCAAGCUCGGUGUGAAAGGUGCGGGCACAACCCGCAGACUGCACUGAGAACUGUAUGGCUGGAGUGCCGGAGGGGCAGGCGGAAUUCCUGGUGUAGCGGUGAAAUGCUUAGAUAUCACGAAGAACCCCGAUUGCGAAGGCAGCCUGCCGCAGCGUUACUGACGCUGAAGCUCGAAAGCGCGGGUAUCGAACAGGAUUAGAUACCCUGGUA